GACGAACGCUGGCGGCGUGCUUAACACAUGCAAGUCGAACGGAAAGGCCUGCUUUCCCUUGUGGAUUGCGGGUACUCGAGUGGCGAACGGGUGAGUAACACGUGAGUGAUCUGCCCCCAACUUGGGUAUAAGCCUGGGAAACUGGGUCUAAUUCCCGAUAGGACUGCAGGGUGGUGCCUGUGGUGGAAAACGAUUUUCUAGUGGUUGGGGAUGAGCUCGCGGCCUAUCAGCUUGUUGGUGGGGUAAUGGCCUACCAAGGCGGCGACGGGUAGCCGGCCUGAGAGGGUGGACGGCCACAUUGGGACUGAGAUACGGCCCAGACGCCUACGGAGGCAGCAGUGGGGAAUAUUGCACAAUGGGCGGAAGCCUGAUGCAGCGACGCCGCGUGGGGGAUGACGGCCUUCGGGUUGUAAACUCCUUUCGACCGCGAGGAAGCCACCUGGUUGGAAGGGUGGUGACGGUAGUGGUAGAAGAAGCACCGGCUAACUACGUG
rnacentral:rRNA from 1 species